GAAUUCGUGUUCAGGGUUUAUGACAGCUCUUGGUGGCUUCGGCUUGCUCCUUACACUGGCAGGCGGGAGAGAUAACGCACACCAGGCAAAUACAGCCCGCGAUGUUCCUGCUGACAGAACAAUUUCAGACCCAUCUGUUCAAGCAGCAAGAGACCUUCCUUACAAGUUUGAUUUCUGUCUGAGCUUUCCAAUAGCUCUUCAUGAAAUAUCAUUAGUCUGGACUUGGUUUUUUGGCUACUUUACCUAAUCAUUCCAUCGUGGGAUUGAAGCACACUUAUUGAGGCAUUAGGGUGGGAGGAACUUUGGUUAUUGUUUAUGGUUCACCUGUUCUUUGGAGAAAACACUUCCAUCUCCAGCACCAUCAGACUUUUAUAAGCACUAAAUGUGUUAAUGGGAGUGAGGAAAGAAAUUGUGUUUGUGCCAACAGUAGGAACAAAAUAUGUAAUUUCUCCAUGAGUCUCUCGGUUAGCUCAUGUAAACAACAUGAUUAAAUUUGUCUGUGUGCAUUGUGCUAUAUAAAUAAUAAUGAUAAUUAAAAAAACCCCGUGCAAGGUCCAAAGAUAACAAGAUUGUGUUCGGGAAGAGCUGGGAGGAGGAUGCAGUGUUGAAGCAAGGAAAGACAGACUCAAUUCAUUAGUGCUGGAGACAGCCUGGACAUGGGUGACUGGUGCUGCCAUUUAGGGGCUGGAAGAUGAAUGUGAGCCCAAAGCUGAACCACCCGCCCCCCUCGGUCUCUAGUGCUCCGUGUCCAGGAAACGUCGUGUCACAGAGGACUAAAAGCUUUAUCUGUACGGACACUCCUCACACAGCAAAGCAAUUUUAAAGAAGUGGGAGACUGAACGAGAAGCAGACUUCAAUUUCGACAUGUCACUAAAAAUGCUUCUCGGAGCUGGUGCUCCCAGUGCUGUGCUCCACGGCGAGAGGAGUGCUCACCUAAUCCAUUGUCUUAACCCUCUAAAUGAGACCGGGAAGGGAGUCUGGGGUUAUGAGAUUUCUGUGUGGAACAAAGAUUUUUGGCUGCUCUUUAGGAGUCUCUGUAAGACACGUUAUAUAAAGUUUGAGUAGCUCUGAUAACGUGUCAGCAGUGAUUUAGGCUACUGUGAAGUGGUUGUCAUAUAUUUCUGUGCGCUCUGCUAAAGGCAGAA